rnacentral:rRNA from 1 species
CUACAACGAAGAGUUUGAUCCUGGCUCAGGAUGAACGCUAGCGACAGGCCUAACACAUGCAAGUCGAGGGGUAACA